GACGAACGCUGGCGGCGUGCUUAACACAUGCAAGUCGAACGGAAAGGCCCUGCUUGCAGGGUACUCGAGUGGCGAACGGGUGAGUAACACGUGGGUGAUCUGCCCUGCACUUCGGGAUAAGCCUGGGAAACUGGGCCUAAUACCGGAUAGGAGCCAUUUUUAGUGUGAUGGUUGGAAAGUUUUUUCGGUGUAGGAUGAGCUCGCGGCCUAUCAGCUUGUUGGUGGGGUAAUGGCCUACCAAGGCGGCGACAGGUAGCCGGCCUGAGAGGGUGGACGGCCACAUUGGGACUGAGGUACGGCCCAGACUCCUACGGGAGGCAGCAGUGGGGAAUAUUGCACAAUGGGCGCAAGCCUGAUGCAGCGACGCCGCGUGGGGGAUGACGGCCUUCGGGUUGUAAACGCCUUUCGCUAGGGACGAAGCUUUUUGUGACGGUACCUAGAUAAGAAGCACCGGCUAACUACGUG
rnacentral:rRNA from 1 species